AUGUCUGUCCUAAAACAAGCUGCAGAUAGUGCCACGAAGAAGGCAAUUGACGCUUUCCAAGUGUUGAUGUCAAAGGGCCGCGAUUAUCCAGAUAAAAAAGAUUACAGUAAUUUAACCAAGAAGGAUGAGUUGUAUAAUGAGCUGGUUGCAGACUUCAGAGAAAAAGAAUUGAGCUUUCCUAAACCAACAGCUAAAAGUGAUGGGCAGUAUUUCAUACAGGUGCUGUGUAAUGCUUUGUGGUAUGUUACAAAUAAGCAUGACACCAUCAAUGAAGAGAGUUCUAGAAAAAGUGUUCUUGCAAUCCCAAAGUUUUUCAAAAAAUACCAAAACUAUAAUGACACUAAAAGAAAAAAGAUGAAAUGUAUAAAAUUGUCAGCCAAUUCCUUGGAAAGUCAUAGUCAGGCCCUCUACAGUAUACUUUUGAAACCAGUGAUAAAAAGCAGUCCUUCCUGGUGCAGAUUGCAUGAUGACAUCAAAGCCUUAGCAGACUGUUUGUCCCAUUACAAAGAUUUUCUUAACAAAAAGGCAAAGGAAAUAGGCAACAACCACAACUUACUACACCCAGUAAGAACAGUUGGUGAAUUUACUUCUGUAGAGCACAGAAGAAGCUGUAGACCUUGUGACCUCGACAAAAGAUACACUUUAUUGGAUGUUGCACUUAGAGAAGGAUCAGGAGACUUUCAUGUUUUUUUCGAUGAAGAAAAAUACUUGGAGCAUCCAUUUCAAAGCAAUAUUCAGAGAUACAGAUUCUUCUCAGAACUACAUCUGACAGUGCCAAUAGACAUAUUCAGAUUUUGUCCGGGCGGCUCGGUUGUGUCAAGUGUUUGUGUUGUUCCAGCAAGCGAAAAAAGAUCAGAACAAGAAAUUCUUGUUGACGGGGCUAGUUGCGAUGACAAGGCAAAAGUUCCAAUAGGAGAACCUGGAUUUGCUGAUACGUCAGAAGCAGAUAGACCCACCUACACAUCAGCCACUACAAGAUUAAGUCUGGGAAAGAAACGGAAAGUCAAUACCAAGACAACGGAUCCAAGUUUUAAUAUUAUAUCAACGGAUCCUGAUGUUCAAGGCAACUUCUCACUUACUGCACAAACUGCCCGUUCAACAACUAAAUGUGUAGAGUGUUUAAAGCCCAGAGUCAUCUAUGGAAAACUGAAAUUAUCGGGGAGACAAGAGUUGCUCUUGGCAGAGUUAAUAAGUGAAUACAGCUACACUUGUGGUGCCCCAUUGACACCACCAGGGCACAGUCUCCAUGGGAAAACCACGUUGAAAUUGGGGAUUGACUGCUCAUCUCCCUUGGAGUUAACAUAUUAUUCUUCAUCCCUGGGACCCACAGAUCUGUGUUAUUAUUGUGGGACAGAUGGUGCCUUAUUUGAUGUUUCACUAAAACAAAAAUUCAAAUCUGUUUUGCCUGUGUGCAAGCCUUGCCUAGAGAAAGGUCUUGCAUAUCCAACAUUUAGACCAUAUGGUAGAACAAAUACAAAGAAUUGAUAUGCAAGACCUUUCUCUAUAGCCAGUUCCAAGACAAAAUUAAACAAUGACAACAAAUACUUGGUUUUUUUUU
rnacentral:misc_RNA from 1 species